CGAAGUAACAAUCACUCGCGUGGCGGUGGUGUGGUAGAUUAGCGUAAGUUUUAUUACUUUGGACUAAACAAAUGUGUUUUUUGUGUGUUUACGUUUUAUGUGAUAUUAUGGCGCCUAGAAGGUGCAAAGUGAGAGGGUGUACCUCACAGGGAAAGCUGUUUCGGCAAUUUCCCGAUUUGUACAGGACUUCGAAAGACACUCAGUUGUCUAAUAAAAACUGAGCACCUUAGCCUAUUUCUCUAUUAUUUCAGAUUGGACUGUUAUCACUUCGUGUAACAUAAGCGUAAUUAUAAAAAUAUUCUUAUUAUAAAAUUUGUACAAUAUAAGUUAAAUAAAAAUGUUUGUUAUAUAAAUA